GCUUUCGUAGCGCAGUCGGCAGCGCGUCAGUCUCAUAAUCUGAAGGUCGUGAGUUCGAGCCACACGGGGAGCA
rnacentral:tRNA from 1 species